GACGGGGAAUCUCCAUAGGAACUAGUCCUCAGAUUUCGCACGUAGGAGAUCGAGACACAGCCCCAGGGCUAUGG
rnacentral:tRNA from 1 species